UUCCAGUAAGCUAACUAUGUUACGACUUACCUCUUCUUUGGAAGAGGGUGACGGGCGAUAUGUACACCUAAAUUCAAUUUCGUUCUCAAUUUUUGUUAGAAAACUACUUCCAAAUCCUCUUUUGUUGUUUCUUUAGAAAAAAGUCCUUUAAUUAAUUUAAUGUGUAAUUAGUUUCUUCUUCAUCAUUACUUCACCUUGACCUGACUUAUAAAAAAAUAUUGAGGCAAAAUGACGAAAUUUUGCCUUAAGACGGCGGUAUAAAAGAAAAAGAUGAAGAGAAAAUGAACGAGAAAAAUCGAAAAAAACAAAUUCCUCUGG
rnacentral:rRNA from 1 species